rnacentral:rRNA from 1 species
GACGAACGCUGGCGGCGUGCUUAACACAUGCAAGUCGAACGAUGAACCCGGAGCUUGCUCCGGUGGAUUAGUGGCGAACGGGUGAGUAACACGUGAGUAACCUGCCCUUGACUCUGGGAUAACUGCGGGAAACUGUAGCUAAUACCGGAUACGACCCUCGGCGGCAUCGCCAGGGGGUGGAAAGAAUUUCGGUCAAGGAUGGACUCGCGGCCUAUCAGCUAGUUGGUGAGUUAACGGCUCACCAAGGCGACGACGGGUAGCCGGCCUGAGAGGGUGACGGGCCACACUGGGCCUGUAACACGGCCCAGACUCCUACGGGAGGCAGCAGUGGGGAAUAUUGCACGAUGGGCGCAAGCCUGAUGCAGCAACGCCGCGUGAGGGAUGACGGCCUUCGGGUCGUAAACCUCUUUUAGUAGGGAAGAAGCGAAAGUGACGGUACCUGCAGAAAAAGCACCGGCUAACUACGUGCCAGACGCCGCAGUAA